rnacentral:tRNA from 1 species
GGCCAGGUAGCUCAGUCGGUAGAGCAUACGACUGAAAAUCGUAGUGUCGGCGGUUCAAUCCCGCCCCUGGCCACCA